rnacentral:rRNA from 1 species
UGAUGACGUGACGCUAAGGCGUUGAAGCAGUGUAUGUCAUACUUCCCAGAAAAGCCCGAACCACGUUAAUUUCUAACCUGCCUGUACCAUAACCGACACAGGUGGGUAGGUAGAGUAUACUAAGGGGCGCGAGAUAACUCUCUCUAAGGAACUCGGCAAAAUGACUCCGUAACUUCGGGAGAAGGAGUGCCUUAUUUAUAAGGUUGCAAUAACAAGAUCCAAGCAACUGUUUAUCAAAAACACAGGUCUCCGCUAAGUCGUAAGACGAUGUAUGGGGGCUGACGCCUGCCCAGUGCCAGAAGGUUAAAGAAGUUGGUUAGUGUAUGCGAAGCUGAUGACUGAAGCCCUGGUGAACGGCGGCCGUAACAAUAACGGUCCUGAGGUAGCGAAAUUCCUUGUCGGGUAAGUUCCGACCCGCACGAAAGGCGUAAUGAUUUGGAUACUGUCUCGGAGAGAGGCUCGGUGAAAUAGACUUGUCUGUGAAGAUGCGGACUACCUGCACCAGGACAGAAAGACCCUAUGGAGCCUUACUGUAACUUGAAAUUGGAAUUGGACUUUGCUUGCGCAGUAUAGGUGGGAAGCGUUGAAAAUAUUCUUGCGGGAGUAUUGGAGCUAUCAGUGAGAUACCACUCUUGUAAUGUUAGAUUUCUAACUUUGAACCAUAAUCUGGUCAAAGAACAGUUUCAGGUGGGCAGUUUGACUGGGGCGGUCGCCUCCCAAAUGGUAACGGAGGCGUACAAAGGUUUCCUCUGAACGGAUAGAAAUCGUAUCUAGAGUGUAAAGGCAUAAGGAAGCUUGACUGUGAGACCUACAAGUCGAGCAGGGACGAAAGUCGGUCUUAGUGAUCUGACGGUACUGAGUGGAAAGGCCGUCACUCAACGGAUAAAAGUUACUCUAGGAUAACAGGCUGAUCUCCCCCAAGAGUUCACAUCGGCGGGGAGGUUUGGCACCUCGAUGUCGGCUCAUCGCAUCCUGGGGCGGUAGUACGUCCCAAGGGUUGGGCUGUUCGCCCAUGAAAGCGGUACGCGAGCUGGGUUCAGAACGUCGUGAGACAGUUCGGUCCAUAUCCGGUGUAGGCGCUAGAAUAUUGAGAGGAGCCUUCUUUAGUACGAGAGGACCGAGAAGGACACACCGCUGGUGUACCAGUUAUCGUGCCAACGGUAAACGCUGGGUAGCUAUGUGUGGAGUGGAUAACCGCUGAAAGCAUCUAAGUGGGAAGCCCACCUCGAGAUGAG